rnacentral:lncRNA from 1 species
AAUUGGUCUGAUUAAUGGUGUUUCUCAUCUUUUCGCAGGUAUCUUUGAGAUUUUAGAAACUUGUUGAUAACAAGGCAAACUAUGCAGAAAAUGAACAGCGUAUUAAUGGCUGCUAAACAAGUUAAUGAUCCUGAUGUCUGCCUUCAAAUUCUAUGGCGUACAUUUCAGUUUGACUUCUGUCAAAGGUUGACUUUUCUAUUUCUAUAUUUAAAGUUGUGUAAAAAAUAUAGUUGAUUAUGAACUUUUUUCAGUUCUAAAAAUUAUGUUUAACUACAUCUACUUGUAAGUAGUUCACUUUCCAGCAUGCAUAAUAUUAUUUGCCUCUUUUCAGAUGGACAGACUGAUUCUGAGAGGGUAUGAGUCUCAUAAUUUCAAUUUCAGUUUUGGAAAAUUGGACAAAGAUGAACUUUGAUGCAUCCUGAAGUCUCCUGUCUUGUUCUUCAUAACAACUGCCUGUUAAAAUUACAUGAAUUGACUGGAACUGCUAGUUUUCCCAAGAGUAUGUGCUGCAAGUGAUCAAGGCUUAAAGCCACGCUUAGCAGCACUGGUGGCACCUCAGUCAUAAUUGAUGGGAUUGAGGGAUAUGGUUUUAUAGCAGUUACUUGUAUAAUCCGACCUUGUCAGUAAAUCCCUACUCCACUUACAAUUUCAAACUUGCAUUAUUUUGUUUAUUAGUAGAGUGCCUCUUUGGAAUAAGGAUUUUUUUUUUUUUUGAGAUGAAUAACAACUAAUUUUUUGAGAUGAAUAACAACUAAUUUUUUCUAUCUAAAAUUUUCUUAAAUCUAAAAUCUGAAAUAUUUUGGGAAUAACAGUUCCAUCAUAUUUUUUACUCUGUAUAUGUUAGUUCUUUGUUCUCUUUCAGAUUUACCUCUUUGAGACUGAUAAACAUUUGCCAUUAUAAAUAAAUGUUUUCUGAAGAUUUAUAUUGCUUUUCUAAAAUCAAAGUAUUGAAAUAUAUAUGUAUCUUAUUUCAAUAUAUGUAUUUAAAAAUUAUAUAAUUAAAAUACCUUAGAAAUGGAAAUAAACACUUAAAGCAAUUCAUCCUCCAUCAGCCAAUCAAUAA